rnacentral:tRNA from 1 species
GGGUCCGUAGCUUAGUGGUAAAGCACCGGCCUUUUAAGCCGUUGACCUGAGUUCGAUUCUCGGCGGACCCACCA